rnacentral:tRNA from 1 species
AGAUGUGUAGCUCAGUUGGUAAGAGCGCCGUGUUGAUAACGCGGAGGUCCUUGAUUCGAGUUCAAGUACAUCUACCA